CGUUUCUGAUUUCUACAAUUCACAGUUUCUUUGUAUUUAUCACUGUGCACUCACACUCAUUCAAUUACGAUAUUUUCUCCAAUCUAGAUGAGGAAGCUAUCCUUUCACCUCCCCUUCAUUGAAGCUCACAUUCAACCAUAUUCGACAACCUCUGUUCUACUGGCGAUGAAAUCGGUUCAAAACUCUGAGAGCAAACGAAGCCCUGAACGAAAUCAGAGAAAGAAGAUCAGACUAUGAAUCUGAGAAUAUGAAAGAUGACGAAAACAGAGAUCUGGCAGAUAACAAAGCCAUCGAGUUUUGGAUCCUACAUUUGGCAAGAGCCUAUCGACGAAAUAGGUAUGAUAUUGUCAUCGUCUCUCUGUAUUAAAUUGAUGACACUUUGGUGAUGAUAUAUUUAAAGAUGAUUGGAAACAUGAUAUAUCUUCUCAUACUAUUUUUUCGAGGGAGUGUUUUGAAGCUGUCCCCCGAACCUGAUAUAUCUUCUCGAUGGAAAUUCCAAUAAUUAUUGAUGGUUGAAUCAUCACAAACUUCACUAACUCAGAAGAUAAACGAUAACCGGUCGAAAACCAAAGCAGCCCUCUUUGAUGUAAUCAGAAGUGGAUCUACAGCCUUUGCCAACUAUCUGAAACCAACAAUCAGUUUGCAACCUGACCCGAUCAAGUGCUUAAAGAAAAGAAACAAGAGUCUUGAGCAAAACUUGAUUUUUGGAACUCAACUCCAAGAUUGGUUUGAGCCGGUAAAGAAGAAAAUCAAAGCAACCACCCCAUUCAAAUAUUUUGCAUCAUGAACGUGCCUCUCAAUCUCAGGGGAGACUGUUUGGGUAAAAUGAAUAGAUUUUUGAAUCCUUUCGCUUAUUUCCCCUUUCAUUCUAUGGCAGAAGCUCAAUUUUGAUGAAUAGUUCAAGCUGUUGUCAUGGCUGGACUUAAUGGCAAGUUUUUCUCCUACACAAUUAGUUCUUUAAUUUUUUUUCCUUCACCAGCUGCACUGCGAUCUAACCUGUGAUAUGUCCUCUUAUAUUAGACUGAGAGGCACCAGCUAGAUGAUCAAUGAACUUCUCUUAGUUUACCUGUUUUUACAAUUUUGUUUUCUUUAUGUGCGUUGAGAAUGGACAUAAGAGUAUCACUGUAGGUAAAGUAUCAAGUUUUGUCUUUAAUACGUUGUGUACAUGGGAAUCUAGAUGGAUAUGACUUUGAAGGUAUUCCUUAGAUUUCACACCAAAACAAAUGUGUUUAUAUUUGUGUUUGUGUUUUCAUUCAUCUUACUGUGUUCUAAAUAAUGUUUUUGGAUCAUAGUUUUGGACUGAAAAUAUAUUCAAAAUUUCCCUAAUUGGUAUAUAAAAAUUUAUUUUUUAAUAACAGUGUAAUAACCUCAUUGUAUUUUUAAAUAGUAAUUUUAAAACCAACUAAUAUAUAAUAAUAAAAUUUAAAUAAAUUGUGAA